rnacentral:rRNA from 1 species
AGCGAACGCUGGCGGCAGGCCUAACACAUGCAAGUCGAACGAGGUCUUCGGACUUAGUGGCGGACGGGUGAGUAACACGUGGGAACGUGCCUUUAGGUUCGGAAUAACUCAGGGAAACUUGUGCUAAUACCGAAUGUGCCCUUCGGGGGAAAGAUUUAUCGCCUUUAGAGCGGCCCGCGUCUGAUUAGCUAGUUGGUGGGGUAAAGGCUCACCAAGGCUACGAUCAGUAGCUGGUCUGAGAGGAUGACCAGCCACAUUGGGACUGAGACACGGCCCAAACUCCUACGGGAGGCAGCAGUGGGGAAUCUUGCGCAAUGGGCGAAAGCCUGACGCAGCCAUGCCGCGUGGAUGAUGAAGGUCUUAGGAUUGUAAGAUCCUUUCACCGGUGAAGAUAAUGACUGUAGCCGGAGAAGAAGCCCCGGCUAACUUCGUGCCAGCCGCCGCCGUAAUAC